rnacentral:rRNA from 1 species
CCCGACUGCUAUUUGGGUGAGAAUAAGCCAUGCGAGUUGAAUGGGAUACCUAAAGUUCCCAUAGCAAACUGCUCAGUAACACAUGAUCAACUUACCCUAUAGAGAAAAAUAACCUCGGGAAACUGAGGAUAAUGUUUCAUAAUUGAAUUGGCUUGGAAAAGUUUUUCAAUGAAAAGGAUAAAAAAAAUGGUUUUUAUCUGCUAUAGGAUAGGAUCGUGUUCGAUUAUGGUUGUUGGUGAGAUAAUGGCUCACCAAGCCGAUAAUCGAUAGGGGCCGUGAGAGCGGGAGCCCCGAGAUGGGUACUGAGACAACGACCCAGGCCUUACGAGGCGCAGCAGGCGCGGAACCUCCGCAAUACACGAAAGUGUGACGGGGUUACCCAAAGUGUUCAAUAGAACUGUGGUAGGUGAGUAAUGUCCCCUACUAGAAAGGAGAGGGCAAGGCUGGUGCCAGCCGCCGCGGUAAAACCAGCUCUUCAAGUGGUCGGGAUAAUUAUUGGGCUUAAAGUGUCCGUAGCCGGUUUAGUAAGUUCCUGGUAAAAUCGGGUAGCUUAACUAUCUGCAUGCUAGGAAUACUGCUAUACUAGAGGGCGGGAGAGGUCUGAGGUACUACAGGGGUAGGGGUGAAAUCUUAUAAUCCUUGUAGGACCACCAGUGGCGAAGGCGUCAGACUGGAACGCGCCUGACGGUGAGGGACGAAAGCCAGGGGAGCGAACCGGAUUAGAUACCCGGGUAGUCCUGGCCGUAAACGAUGCAUACUAGGUGAUGGUACGGCCAUGAGCCGUAUCAGUGCCGUAGGGAAACCGUUAAGUGUGCCGCCUGGGAAGUACGGUCGCAAGGCUAAAAC